CAACCACAUCGCAUUGAAACACUGGUUCUCAUACAAUCACUGAAGUUAAGUAAUGUUGAGCCUGGUCAGUAUCUAGAUGGGUGGCUGCUUAGGAAUACUAAGUGCU